AACGAACGCUGGCGGCAUGCCUAACGCAUGCCAGUCGAACGAAGGCUUCGGCCUUAGUGGCGCACGGGUGCGUAACGCGUGGGAAUCUGCCCUUUGGUUCGGAAUAACAGCUGGAAACGGCUGCUAAUACCGGAUGAUGACGAAAGUCCAAAGAUUUAUCGCCAGAGGAUGAGCCCGCGUUGGAUUAGGUAGUUGGUGGGGUAAAGGCCUACCAAGCCGACGAUCCAUAGCUGGUCUGAGAGGAUGAUCAGCCACACUGGGACUGAGACACGGCCCAGACUCCUACGGGAGGCAGCAGUGGGGAAUAUUGGACAAUGGGCGCAAGCCUGAUCCAGCAAUGCCGCGUGAGUGAUGAAGGCCCUAGGGUUGUAAAGCUCUUUUACCCGGGAAGAUAAUGACUGUACCGGGAGAAUAAGCCCCGGCUAACUCCGUG
rnacentral:rRNA from 1 species